GUUAUACUCCCUCUGUCCGAAAAUAUUUGUCAUUAAAAUGGAUUAAAAAAUGUAUCUAGAACUAAAAUACGUCCAGAUACAUCCUCUUUUAUCCAUUUUGAUGAUAAGUAUUUCCGGACGGAGGUAGUACAAA
rfam:Triticum aestivum genome assembly, contig: Triticum_aestivum_CS42_TGACv1_scaffold_642770_T_1AS-0.093131_5DL-0.047415